rnacentral:lncRNA from 1 species
UUAUAAAGAGAUAGUUGUUUUCGUAUUAUUAUUAUUGUCUCAAUUCAAAACUGACAUCCGUGCAACGCACGGGUGAAAUACUAGUUAUGUUAAUAUUACAUUUUGAAAUAAAAAAUUACUAUAUAGUUAUAAUAAAUACUCAUUUUGGUGGUAGGGAGUGAUAAGAAUUAGUAUCGUUCAACUUAUCAGUUAAGUUGAAGAUCGGGUGGGAUGUUGUAUCCAAUAGGCGUCACGACCGUUUCUUACUGCACACAUAUAAUGAAAAGGGUUCGUGCCGUUCGUCUUAAGAGAGCGAAAUCUUUUCGUACAUCAACCGCCGAACUUUGUGAUCAAAUCGUGAAGAUUGCAAAAGUGGAAUUCCAACAAUUUUAAGGCGAAAUUUAGAGCAUAUAGAGAUUAGCUUGACGAUGAUCCAAGAGACGAAUGAAAAAGGGAGUUGACGUGAUCUAUUUUAUUAAUCUUUAACUUGACGAAAAUUUAUUUAAACUAACUUUUCAUGUAGGUGAAUUUUUGCAUACUUUAUGCGGUCGGACUUUCGGGAAUCCGGAAAUCAUAUAUAGAGCACGAAAUUUGUAGAACUUUUCGUUGCUUGUGUAGAACAUCUUGAAUCUCUAAUACCGGAUCGUGAAUGAAAGAGAUAUAUAAUCAACGUAACAUACUCGUGAGCCAUGCCGGAAUUGUCAAUUAUGCGCGUUUUUUUGACCGAAUCACAAAAACUAGAGAAACCGAAAGAUCGAUGAUUGAGAAAUUAUCAUUUCCAGGUAUGUUCUUUUUCUAUAUAUACCUACUAAUCGUGAUAAUUUUCGCAAUUGAUAUAGAUUUGUGGAUCACGGUGAACAAUAAUUUGUGCAUAAUUCAGUUGUAAUUGCUGAUGUGAUUUAUAAUUGUGAAUAAAUGAUUUUUCGUUAAUAAAAUUACGUGUUUAUGAUUGGUGGUAUAAAAAUGAUUAGUUGCGAUGUUGAAGGGGUUCGUGCAAUUCGUAUAAAAACCAAUAAGGACAGUUUCUUACUGCAGAAAUAUAAUAAAGGGGUUCGUGCAAUUCGUUUUAAAGAGAAUGGAAUCUUUUUGUGCCUUAACCACCAAACUGUGUGAUCAAAUCGUCAAGAUUUCAGGAUUCGAAUAAAAAUUAUUAAUAUUUUAAAACGUAAUAAAAGGAUACAAAGGGCUUCAUGUUUUGCUCUUGCCUAGGGCUUCUCCGACUUUGGACCGGCCCUGCAACCACCUUUACACUGUCGAACCGGUAAUAAAACCAAUUAUUAUUGUUAUUAUUUAUUGAAAAAGAAAAAUAAACAAAAUUACAUAUUAUAUAUAUAUUAGCUAGCAUAUAUAUAAAUUAUAUAUAUUACAAAUUACAAAACUACAAGUCGAUAUUAUCACCCUUCCUUCCCAUUUCUUUUAUUCGACAAAUAAAUAAAAACCAACAUUAAUACCUACCAAUGCGAAUAAAUUUAAAAAAAAACAUUUUUUUUUUCAUGGACAUGAAUAAAUUACAUAUUUUUAUAUCUUUUUUUUUUUAUAUUAAUAAUUCAAAAAUCAUAUUGUAUUUCUUUAGUUUUGGAGUGGGAAGGCUUGUUUUUGUGGAACUUGGUCUUGAUCCAUUUAAUGCCUUUGGAGGCACCUUUCUUUACCUUCUUUGCCGCACUUUUCGUUUUCUUCUUUGUUUUCUCCAUCGCCUCCGACGCCACCUCCUUUGUUCGUUCGAACGUCUCUUUCAGCCUCGUCGACAGCUUCGGCUGUGGGUCCCCCAGCCGCUUCGGCUGACGUGCAGCCGGCUCUGUGGCCGCGGUUUCCGCCCACGGGUUAACGUACGACAUUGAAUCACCGACGACCUGUUUUCGAGACCUCAAGAAAAGACUAGUGUUGGCGUCUUCCCUUGAGAGAAAAUUCAAGAAGAAAAUAUUUUAUAUUUCCUUUUAUUUAUUUUUGUAUAUUAUUUUUUAGGGCUAUGACAAAAAAAAAAAAUCACCUUAGAUUUGGGCUUUUUAUUUUAAAACUAGUAGCAAUUGGAGGUGGCACGUGAAUUAAGCCCAUGCACAUAUUCAAUUAACUAUAUAUAGUGUUUCUCUUUUCUCUUGGCUUUUUCUUUUAUUUUUUUAUUUAUUUCUUUUAUUUGUUUUUAAAGUUUGAAAAAAUAUAUAAUCAUGUAGAAUUCCGAG